rnacentral:rRNA from 1 species
CAAUAGCGUAUAUUAAAGUUGUUGCGGUUAAAAAGCUCGUAGUUGGAUUUCUGCUGAGAACGACCGGUCCGCCCUCUGGGUGUGUAUCUGGCUCUUUCUUGGCAUCUUCUUGGUGAACGUUGCUGCACUUGACUGUGUGGAGCGCUACCCAGGACUUUUACUUUGAGGAAAUUAGAGUGUUUCAAGCAGGCAUACGCCUUGAAUACAUUAGCAUGGAAUAAUAAGAUAGGACCUCGGUUCUAUUUUGUUGGUUUCUAGAGCUGAGGUAAUGAUUAAUAGGGAUAGUUGGGGGCAUUCGUAUUUAACUGUCAGAGGUGAAAUUCUUGGAUUUGUUAAAGACGGACUGCUGCGAAAGCAUUUGCCAAGGAUGUUUNCAUUGA